GGGAGGGCAUUCCACAGAAUGGGGGAAGCCCGGAUAAAGUCCUUCUUUAAAGUUUUCUUCUGGGAAACAAGGAAACCAUGUUCUCACCUCCUUCAAGCAGUGAAUGGAAUGCGAUAACCCUGAUCGCUGGUCCAAUAAUUCAAUCUCUGACACACCAACCAAUAAAAUUCAAUGAAGAGCACAUCAGCCCAUCUCAAACGAGAUCCCUCAUUACACAGUAUGGAGGAAAAUGUACUGUAACUUUAAGGAUACAUCUACUGUACAACAGAAAAGUACAUAUAAUUUUCACAGCUGCCACAUUGUCACAUUCUUAAAUAGGCGACGAUUAAAUGAUCCCAGUCACAGAGACCAAACGAAGAGGCAAAAUGUAUGUGAAAAGGAUUUCUAUUUAUACCUUUCGUCAUAAGUGGCAAUGAAUGGUUGAGGUUAAUGAAUAGGUUUCAAUAUACCUAUUAGCCAUUUGACUGAUGAAAUGCCAGACUGUGGAGCAUGGAGCCACUGGAAUGUAUUGAAGGUCAUUAACCCCUUUACUGCUGGAAUUCCCUUGAUGUGUAUAACACAAUACAAAACUCUACUUAUUAUGGUUUUUCUGUGUAACAGUCUUGACAACUGUUGGCCUUCGGGAGCCAAUGUCAUAUCACAUUACAUUUAAAGCAACUAUCAUGAAAUGUUAUGAAAUUCUGAAAGUGAUAAGUCCUUCAAAGAUCAGAUCAAAUCAAAUCAGAAAUAAGUAGUUGUGGAAUGAACAUGGAGUGGAAAACUAACAUGCCUAACGCAAAGGGCACAACCAUUUUUAUCUGUCAUUGAAACCACUAAUCUAACCCAUGUUAUAAAUGAUGCCAGUGCUAGAAAGAUCUAUAUUAUACAUACUAUAGUCCUUCCCUGUAAAAUGAUAACUUGGGCACAGCUCUUUUUCACAAGUGCUUUAUGAAUUUCCAUUAUGCUCAUGCUAUAUAUGUAAUGUACAAAUACUAGCAUCCUCCAUUCUGUACAAUCACUGUCUGGCAGUCAUUAGAUAUAAAAGAGAUCAUUUUGCAAUUAUACAAAUAAAUGUAAGAAUGGUUUAAACA